AAUGAACGUUGGCGGCGUGGAUUAGGCAUGCAAGUCGUGCGGCAGCAGGUCCUUCGGGAUGCUGGCGAGCGGCGAAAGGGAGAGUAACGCGUGGGUGACCUGCCCUUGGGUCUGGGAUAGCGACGGGAAACUGUCGGUAAUACCGGAUAACGUCUCCGGACCAAAGGUGUGAUUCCGCCUGGGGAUGGGCCCGCGUCCUAUUAGCCUGUUGGUGAGGUAACGGCUCACCAAGGCCGCGAUGGGUACCGGGUGUGAGAGCAUGGCCCGGCUCACUGGGACUGAGACACUGCCCAGACACCUACGGGUGGCUGCAGUCGAGAAUCUUCGGCAAUGGGCGCAAGCCUGACCGAGCGACGCCGCGUGCGGGAUGAAGGCCCUCGGGUUGUAAACCGCUGUCGGAGGGGAGGAAAUGCAAUCAGGUCAUCCUGGUUGUUUGACCUAUCCUCAAAGGAAGUACGGGCUAAGUUCGUG
rnacentral:rRNA from 1 species